rnacentral:lncRNA from 1 species
GUUUAGGUCACAUAUUAUUUUAUUAGUCACAAGUUAUCAAUCACAUACUAUUUAUUCGUCAAAAAAUAUCUUAUUUAUUGAUCACAAUCUCAAAUAAUUGGUUACAAACACUCAUAAUCCGGCCACGUAUCCCACCCAGCCUCAAUUCACCAUGGCACCAACCGAAAGUCAAGAUUACAAAUUUAGUCCUAACCUUAUAUUUUUCUAGGUCACAAAUUAACAAUUUUAUUGGUCGCAAUCAUAAAUAAUUGAUCACACACUUCUCACCACAUGCCACCCACCAAUCGAAAGCAUUGCGAUCUCUCUACCAUCGUCACUACCAAUACGUCCCCACAAUCGCACUUCACCAUCAGCAGUACCGCAUCACCAUCACCGCCCGCACCCCCAUCUCACCACCAUUGCUUCACAACAUCUCUUCCAACACUACCACACUAUAGCCACCACCCCACCAACAAAAUCAGCAAACUCGCCACCGCCAUCUGCACUUUCAAUACACCAUAAAUCAACCCUCAACUCCGGCACCACAAAAUCAAAAAGAGAGAUAGACGAGAAAACCUUAUUUUUGCAAAACUAAAUUUCUAUGAUUAUUGUAUUGAAUUUAAAUUCCCAAAAUGUAGUAGAUCUCAUAGGUGGUAUCCUAGAGAAGGUGAUUGGCGCAGCUUUGUUGCGUAAUGAAGAUCCUAUCGUCACGUAGAGCUCUGGAGAAUGUUAUCAGUAAUGAUGUGGUCACAUUGCAAGAUUGUAGGUGGAUUGUUGGGGCACCACACGCAGCAAUCGACUUGUUGGAUUGUGCUCCCAAUCUGACCGCGUUGUGCAUGUGUGAGAGAGUGAAUGGGAGGUAUCGUUGAUGGGUAUGGGUGAGAUUUUAGGGUUGUUAAGUUGAGGGAUUAUAAUAUAUAUUUUUAAUUCGAAAAUAAUAAUUAUAACUUUAAAAAAAAAAUAGUUCUAACUUGAUUUUUGAUAUUGAGAAUUUAAAUGUAGGGGUGAGUAGAAUUUCCACUUGUCAAAAUAUGAGCUACUCAUUAAGAAAAAUAGACACAUAUAACACUAGUUAGGGAUGAAAAAUGAUUGUGUACUCUUCUCUAAAAUUCUCUCUCAUACAAUUUUAUUUAUAGCAUCAAUAUUAGAAAAGGGAUUU